UCAGUAGAAGAUGAUGAUCUCAUCUCCUACAUAAUGGGUGGUUUGAAUCCUGCAUAUACUCCAUUUAUUACCUCUUACAACUUUGCUACUCAUGAUGUUCCCAUGACAUUUUAGGAUUUCAAACUGAACUUCUAAA